CGGGGGGAGCAAGCGUUGUUCGGAUUUACUGGGCUAAAGGGCGCGUAGGCGGCCACCGCAAGUCGACUGUGAAAUCUCCGGGCUUAACCCGGAAAGGUCAGCCGAUACUGGUUGGCUUGAAUCCGGGAGAGGGACGUGGAAUUCCAGGUGUAGCGGUGAAAUGCGUAGAUAUCUGGAGGAACACCGGUGGCGAAGGCGACGUCCUGGACCGGCAUUGACGCUGAGGCGCGAAAGCCAGGGGAGCAAACGGGAUUAGAUACCCCGGUAGUCCUGGCCCUAAACGAUGAAUGCUUGGUGUGGCGGGUAUCGAUCCCUGCCGUGCCGAAGCUAACGCAUUAAGCAUUCCGCCUGGGGAGUACGGUCGCAAGGCUG
rnacentral:rRNA from 1 species